AGUUCGAUCAUGGCUCAGAUUGAACGCUGGCGGGAUGCUUUACACAUGCAAGUCGAACGGCAGCACGGACUUCGGUCUGGUGGCGAGUGGCGAACGGGUGAGUAAUGUAUCGGAACGUGCCUAGUAGCGGGGGGAUAACUACGCGAAAGCGGGAAGGCGCGUAUAUUAUUCUUCGGGGGAAAGCGGGGACCUUCGGGCCUCGCACUAUUAGAGCGGCCGAUAUCGACAGCGAAGCAGGGUAACGGCUCACUGGCGCGACGAUCCGUAGCUGGUUUGAGAGGACGACCAGCCACACUGGGACUGAGACACGGCCCGUGACUUACGGAGGCAGGGAAAUGGAUACGAACCCUGAUCCAGCCAUCCCGCGUGUGCGAUGUGAAGGCCUCGGGUUGUGCGCGACUUAGGAGAAACGGCACGGGAUAAUACUCCGCAAUCGACGGUACCUGCAGAAUAAAGCACCGUUAACAUGCGCCAGCAGCCGCAAUACGUAGGGUGCAAGCGUUAAUCGGAAUUACUGGGCGCGUAAAGCGUGCGGAAGUGUCUUGAAAGAAAGAUGUAAACCCAGAGCUUAACUUUGGAACUGCAUUUUUAACCGAGCUAGAGUGUGUCAGAGGGAGGUGGAAUUCCGCGUGUAGCAGUGAAAUGCGUAGAUAUGCGGAGGAACACCGAUGGCGAAGGCAGCCUCCUGGGAUAACACUGACGCUCAUGCACGAAAGCGUGGGGGAGCAAACAGAUUGAUACCGGCAUUCACGCCCUAAACGAUGUCAACUAGCUUUCGUUGGGCCUUCGGGCUCCUGGUAGCGCAGCUAACGGUAAAGCGACCGCCUGUGAGUGAUGGCCGUAAAGAUUAAACUCAAAGGAAUUGACGGGACCCGCACAAGCGGUGGAUGAUGUGGACAAUCUGAUGCAACGCGAAAACCUUACCUACCCUUGACAUGUUCGGAAUCCCGAAGAGAUUUGGGAGUGCUCGCAAGAGAACUGGAACACAGGUGCUGCAUGGCUGUCGUCAGCUCGUGUCGUGAGAUGUUGGGUUAAGUCCCGCAACGAGCGCAACCCUUUGUCAUUAGUUGCUACGAAAGGGCACUGACGAGACUGCCGGUGUCAAACCGGAGGAAGGUAGAUGACGUCAAGUCCUCGGGCAUCUUUGGUAGGCUUCACACGUCAUACAAUGGUCGGGACAGAGGGUCGCCAACCCGCGAGGGGGAGCCAAUCCCAGAAACCCGAUCGUAGUCCGGAUCGCAGUCUGCAACUCGACUGCGUGUCGGAAUCAUUAGGUAAUCGCGGAUCAGCAUGUCGCGGUGAAUACGUUCCCGGGUCUUGUACAUCGCCCGUCACAUCUGGGAGUGGGUUUUACCAGAAGUAGUUAGCCUAACCGUGGGUGGAGGCGAUUACCACGGUGGAUUCCUAUGACUGGGGUGAAGUCGUAACAAGGUAG
rnacentral:rRNA from 1 species